ensembl:lincRNA 4933413J09Rik RIKEN cDNA 4933413J09 gene
GGAGAAGGAGGACGUUUGAGAUGCCUUUGCUUUGAGACAGUGCCAUAGAAAGAUUUCUUGGCCGGCCUUAGAAAGUAAGCCAGCGGUUGCAAUGCAGAACUUUGCAGUCUUCCCUGGGAUGCAGAUUCCGUUCCAGGUGUGAAAAAGUCCAGCAUGAACUCAGACAGGACACAGACCAGGACCAGAGCCUCAUGUAGACAGAGCUGCUGCAGAAGGAGCAAUGAGCAUGCCUGCACCCUUGAGAGACCUGAGGAGGAUGAAGGAAAAUACGGACAACUUGAAUCCAUGACAGUCUUCAGUCUAGGAUCAAGGCCUCCUCACAAAAGCCAUCUCCUUGUAGCUGAGAACUCAACAGAAUUAGUGGCAGUGUCACAGGUCAGCCCUCUGAACCCAGAAGAAGGACAUUGGCAUAGGAAGCCCCUCUCCUGAGGUGGUCACACAAGUGGCAAUUCCUUGGCAGGCAUUGGAGAAGCAAGGGUCUUGUCAUUGAUUUGCUAUUUUGGACUGUCUGGAAUCAGUUGCGGCAUCACAGUCCUGUAACACCAGAACUCCCAGGCAGAGAUGGAUGUCUGCAAGUGCCAAGUGGCUUGGUCUACACACUGAAUCUAUCUCUGCUUUUGACUCCCAUGGGAGAUGACAGAGCUGAAUUUGUGUGCAGUGAUCAGCUGGGCUAUACAGACACUGCUCAUCCAGAAACAUGGCUCCUUGGACAUCAAC